rnacentral:rRNA from 1 species
CCUACGGGUGGCAGCAGUGAGGAAUAUUGGUCAAUGGGCGCGAGCCUGAACCAGCCAAGUAGCGUGAGGGAUGACUGCCCUACGGGUUGUAAACUUCUUUUGUAAAGGAAUAAAGUGCGCCACGUGUGCCGUUUUGUAUGUACUUUAUGACUAAGGAUCGGCUGACUCCGUGCCAGCAGCCGGGGUACUAAGGAGGAUCCGAGCGUUAUCCGGAUUUAAUGGGUUUAAAGGGGGCGUUGGUGGGUGUUUAAAUCAGUUGUGAAAGUUUGCGGCUUAAAACUGAAAUUGCAGUUGAUACUGGCAGUCUUGAGUACAGUGCAGGUAGGCGGAAUUCGUGGUGUAGCGGUGAAAUGCGUAGAGAUCACGAAGAACGCCGAUUGCGAAGGCAGCUUACUGGACUGCGACUGACGCUGAGGCUCGAAAGUGUGGGUAUCAAACAGGAUUAGAUACCCCGGUAGUC